UAAAUGGGUUUAGACCGUCUGGCUCCAUAGCCUGUAUCUUUCAUCAUCUCACUCCAGCUGUUGGGAAGACAAGGCAAGUGUUGAGGCUGCUUCUAACCAGAGGGAGUGGGGAAGGCUUCGUGGAAGAGGUGGUAUUUGGGUUAAGCCCUGAAGGUGAAGGGAAAGAGCAUUCCAGGUUGAGAGGGGAAAUAUAGAGAUGCAAAAAGAAAAAAUUGUAUUGGGGGUAAGCAGUUGCUGGCAGGAGUAGGUGGACAGAGUGGAUGGGGAGGGUGAGAUCUCUGAUAAGUUUCAUAUUAUUCUGAAGGUGUUAGGAAGUCAGAGUUUUUCUGAGCAGGGAAGGGCUCCGUUCUAACACUUUCUAUGUAUCCUUUCAAUUAAUUCUUACUUAACAUCUAAUUAAACACUUGUUUGAACAGUUAAUUUAACACCUAAUAUUGAGUGCUGGUAGAGGGGAAUUGUUUCUGCUAUCAAAGAAGUACAACUUAAUUGAAGGCACAGGAAAUAACACUUCAGAAAACUGUACCACAUUAAAAAAUAUAACAACAGGUGUUCCAAGGCAGUACAUAAGGAAUUGUUCAACAAACCAUUUUGUGAAAUUUGGCAAAUUUCAGGGUCUGUUAGUUCUCUCUCUGGCUUGGGCUGAGGGUUUGCAAGGGCAAAGUAGGGGAGCAGUCUGGGGAGCUGGAGAAGUUCGUGGUGCCACAUACACGGCUAGCCCUUGAGAUACCAAACAUGGGAACAAAAUGGUUAAUGUUGGAUCCGGCUCCCUAGCACCUUCUUCCUAAUCCACAUCAUGGCUAGGGAGAGGAGAGUUCCCUGUAAUCAGAGGCUAGGAGGAAGGCACUGGCUAGAAAUAGGAGCCUAUUGAUUUCCUUGAUACAGAGUGAGAAAAUUCCAAAGCCUCUCUUCUAAACUGCAGUCUGCUGCUGCUGCUGCUGCUAAGUCGCGUCAGUCGUGUCCAACUCUGUGCGACCCCAUAGACGGAAGCCCACCAGGCUCCUCUGUCCCUGGGAUUCUCCAGGCAAGAACACUGGAGUGGGUUGCCAUUUCCUUCUCCAAUGCAUGGAAGUGAAGAGUGAAAGUGAAGUCGCUCAGUCGUGUCCGACUCUUAGCGACCCCAUGGACUAUAGCCUACGAGGCUCCUCCGUCCAUGGGAUUUCCCAGGCAAGAGUAGUGGAGUGGGGUACCAUUGCCUUCUCCAAGACUGCAGUCUAAUGAUCUACAUAUCACUGGGGAAAACUGUCCAAGAUUUGGAAAUGGACAGGGGAGAUUACUAGGUUUCCUUUCAGUGGAAUGCUUAUUACUGCCUACUGUAAUCGCUGUGAUUUUCUGAUUCUACAGGUUUAUGCAAUUUGAUUUCUUAUUGGCCAGGCUAUUUUUUUAAUCUCUGGAGGAGUUGAAGUAAAUUUGUAGAAAAAAUUAUAAUAAUGCAAAAGUUUCUUGUUUAUAGCAAUGCAAGUGAAUUUUAUUUGGUGAAGAUACAACUGAUUUCUCCUCUGUAGAAAAGACCUCACCUCACGACGGACCUGCCCACACAUCCGCCCUCUGCUGUCUGCUGGCCUUCCUGAGCAAGAGAGAGGGAACUUAGGACCACGUCAAUGCCUGCCUUCCUACAUCACUUUCAAAGGGAUUGUGUGGUCCACUCCCGCAAGGCAACCCCACUGACCACGUGGCUGAUGGAGAUGAAGCAGCUUCUUAGAAAGACUGGAUCCACAGAUCCACUGCAUCAGCGAUAUUUCCUCUCUCAACUGCAAGAUCUGAUGCAAAAUGGCAUAAUGCUAAAAUUGUAAACCUGGGUUGGUGCAUUCUUCUAUACUUGCCUCUUAUAUCUCAUACAAAAUAAGUUUAUCAUUAAGUAAAAAAGGAAAAUCUGGAGGGAAAAAGGUUUAAUUUAUUAGUUUUGGUUUUGAAGUGAAAGUUGCUCAGUUGUGUCUGACUCUUUUUGACCCCAUGGACUUCUCCAUGGAAUUCUCCAGGCCAGAAUAUUAGAGUCGGUAGCCUUUCCCUUCUCCAGGAGAUCUUCCCAACCAAGGGAUCGAACCCAGUUCUCCUGCAUUGCAGGCGGAUUCUUUACCAGCUGAGCCACCAGGAAAGUCCAGUUUUGAUCUGGAGCCAUCCCUUAAGAGCAGAGACAG
ensembl:lncRNA